AACCUUUACAAUGCACGAAAGUGUGAUAAGGGGAUCCCAAGUGCUUAUGCUUUGCAUAGGCUUUUGCCAAGAGUAAAUAUCUUGGCGAAUAAGUGGUGGGCAAGACUGGUGCCAGCCGCCGCGGUAACACCAGCGUCCACAAGUGGUGACCAUGUUUAUUGGGCCUAAAGCGUCCGUAGCCGACUUGAUAACUCUUUUGUGAAAUUGUUAGGCUUAACCUAACAACGUGCAGAAGAAACUGUCAAGCUAGAGACCGGGAGAAGUUAGGAGAAUGUUAGGGGGAGCGGUAAAAUGCUAUAAUCCCUUACAGACUACCUGUGGCGAAGGCGCCUAACUAGAACGGAUCUGACGGUGAGGGACGAAAGCCAGGGGAGCAAAACGG
rnacentral:rRNA from 1 species